ensembl:lncRNA
ACAAACCCAACUGCUGCAGAGGAUCUUCCAGCAGUUGCAGCAUUGGGAUGCACACCUGGCUGCCUCUGCUCUGCAGCCAGAGAAGACCCUUGGGAAGAGCAGAGCCAGUGGUGAAGAUACCUUCGCCCUCUUCUUAUCUACAUGAGCCAACCCUGAACUGCUUCCCUCUUUGCUGCACGUUUGUGUUCUGGCAGAUCAGGAUGGUUUUGUGGCACUUGCACACACUUGUGCCAGCACCAGACACCAGGGCAGAGCUGCAGGCAGGGGCAGCAGGAGAAGGAACUGCCUGUUUCCAUUGCAAGUGCUGGGUGAAAGUUCUACUCCAAGUUGCAUUCAUAGAAUCAUAGAGUGGGUUAGACUGAAAGCCCCGGACUUCCUGACUGACCCACUAUGAACCACUGCUGCUCUGCACACAUUAUUUCCUCUCUUUGAAAGAAAAAAAAGAAAGAAAGCACAGAAGAACUUACCCACAAUCUGGCAGCGCCUCGCUCUCCCAUUUAGCUCACCUCUCAUUUUCAAGCUGCUCUUAACAAGCCGGAAAGCUAAAGAAUAUCCACCUCUCCAGCCUGGGUCUGUCCUUUUUCUGGUCUCCCCACCAAAGAACUCUGUGAUGUUCCCUGUAGGUGGAGGCUGAAAACCUUCUGUUUUUCUUUCCCCGUUAAUGGGAAUUUUCUUCUGCUGUAUUUUUUGCUUGGCUGUUUUCUUAUCAAAAUCCAUUCUUUCUGCAACAAUACUGCUCUUGCAAUGCUAGGAGCAACGGUGGAUUUUGUUUUUAAUCUGUUUAAAAGCUGAGAUUUAUAUACAAAUAUGUGUAUUUGUUUACUUAUAAAUCUAUAGCAUAUGAUUGCGACUUGAGUACAAAUCACCAGAAAGCUAGCAUUAUUCAGCUUCAACAUUUUCACUGUAUUCAAUGGGAACAAAUUUUGGUCAAAAUUACCAGGUUUCUUUGUUCUUUCAGUCUGUUUCCAGCUGAGCCAACAAGCUAGGAGUUGUCCUCUGGCGCAGCCUUGAAAUGCCAAUUUCCACGUGUAAGCCAUUUGUCUCCAUGCAGCAUGAGGCUGAAUGCAGGCUGUUUGCUAAGCGCAUACCUCAAACCAGAAAUGAGAGCUUU